rnacentral:misc_RNA from 1 species
GAAAUGCGAUAAGUAAUGUGAAUUGCAGAAUUCAGUGAAUCAUCGAAUCUUUGAACGCACAUUGCGCCCGCCAGUAUUCUGGCGGGCAUGCCUGUUCGAGCGUCAUUUCAACCAUCAAGCCCCCCCGGGCUUGCGUUGGGGUCCUGCGGCUGCCCGCAGGCCCCGAAAUGCAGUGGCGGGCUCGCUGUCACACCGAGCGCAGUAGCGUACCUCCCGCUCUGGGCGUGGCGGCGGGCGCCGGCCGUGAAACCCCCAUAAUGACCCCUAAAGGUUGACCUCGGAUCAGGUAGGAAUACCCGCUGAACUUAAGC